CUCCUACGGGAGGCAGCAGUCGAGAGGCUUCGGCAAUGGGGGAAACCCUGACCGAGCGACGCCGCGUGGGUGAUGAAGAUCCUCGGAUCGUAAAACCCUGUCAGGUGGGAUGAAACCUCAUUCGGCUAAUACCCGAGUGACUUGACAGUACCACCAGAGGAAGCUCCGGCUAACUCCGUGCCAGCAGCCGCGGUAACACGGGGGGAGCAAGCGUUGUUCGGAUUUAUUGGGCGUAAAGAGCUCGUAGGCGGCUCCGUAAGUCAGAGGUGAAAGGUCACGGCUCAACCGUGGGAACGCCUUUGAAACUACAGAGCUUGAGGCCGGGAGAGGAAAGUGGAAUUCCUGGAGUAGCGGUGAAAUGCGUAGAUAUCAGGAGGAACACCAGUGGCGAAGGCGACUUUCUGGACCGGUUCUGACGCUGAGGAGCGAAAGCUAGGGGAGCAAACAGGAUUAGAUACCCUGGUAGUCCUAGCCGUAAACGAUGGGCACUAGGUGUGGGGGGAUCGACCCCUUCCGUGCCGCAGUUAACGCAUUAAGUGCCCCGCCUGGGGAGUACGACCGCAAGGUUGAAACUCAAAGGAAUUGACGG
rnacentral:rRNA from 1 species